UUUAAGCUUUGAUAUUUGUUUGAUAAAAAUUAUAUUUUAUCUGCCUAGUCCAUGUGUUGGGACAAGCGUGAACCUGGUAUAAUUUGUUGCCUUUAACUAGCUGUGGAUAUUUAUUUUGUGAAGUUUAUCGAGAAUCAUUUAAAGGUGAAAUAUGAGGUGAGGUUGGGGCGUUGAAUAUAUUUUCUUCACUGCCGUUAUAGUCACUAAGGGCGUACAUAGCUGUCGUAAUAUAUUAGGGACAUUACUUAUGCUACCGUAAUAUGUUAGGGGCUUGUACAUGUUGCUGUAGUAGACUUUUAGGGCAUUGUAUAUGUUUCCAUGGACUUAUCGAGGUGCCAGGCCGAUCAACUUCACUACCGUUUAUGACAAGUCGUGAGAGUGAAUUGAGUUGAGAUGUAGAGUGGUAUUUUUUGAACUUUCUUUUCGAUCUUAUUAACAUUACCUUAUGAGAGAUAUUAUGUACAUAUUGUUUUUGUAUUUUUUUGUACCUUAUUUUUUCUAACACUUGUUCGAGGGGUAUUAAAGUAGCGGGUCGAGGAUCUUACUGGGUUAUAUUUAUAUAGCUCACUCCUUACUUGCAUACUUGGAAAUACAAUUGCAGAGAGAGAGAGACUUGUGACAAAUGGUUAUUACGUGUCGAUUCUAUAAGUAAGGUGAGCCUUAACAUUGUUCGUGGAGGCUUUCAUCCAGCUUUAGUUAUUUUUUGCUUAUAUUUCUUUUUGUUGGGCUUGCAUGCCCGAAAGUUGAACUCAUGUAACUUUGUUUAGAUGCUCCAUGGUCUAGUGUGGGGUUUGGGUUAGCGAUUUGUUUCCUAAACUACUGUUGUUUCUGUAAAUCGUUAUGCGAUAUCUUGUUGGACAAUUACUUUACGUUUAAUGAUUAUUUCGUGCAUUUAAAGUUGCACUCAUUUUUAUCUCAGUGUUGUAUACAUUGUGAACAUAUGGAAAAUUGGUUCUCCCGACAAGUGUUGUUAGUAGGAGCCAGACACGGCCAUGAGGUAGUUGGGAUGUGACAAAGUUGGUAUCAGAGCCUAGGCUUUUGGUCCCGUGUCGUCGAGCAGUAUUUAGUAGAUUCUUGUUCAGGGAUGGUUAAGAGACGUGGUUCUUCCUCUGUUGGUCGAUCUAAUGCACCUGUUGGACUUGGUCCUGGACAAGAUCCUACCCGUGGUGGUGGUCGAGUUGGGUCACAUCCGACCAUGCCUCAAACUAGGGCACAAACUAAUACUCAACAUGGAGUUUGGAGUGGGCGCCAUCCCCAAGUUGCGGCUCCUGAGCGAGUACAAGACCAGGUUGAUCAUGAUACUCCAGCUGUAGCACCUGUUGCUGUACCUACUAUUACAUUGCCUGCCGAUGUUGUGGUUAGAAUGUUGAAUAUAUUGGAGGCAUUGGUGUCUAAUCAGGGUCGAACUCCAGCUCCUCAGGUUACUUUGCAGACGCAGGCACAAGUUCAGUUGAAUGUUGCAACCUCUCAGGCACCUCUACUAAUUGAUCAUUCGAUUGCAGAUAUAGGGCAACCCAAGGAUCUUAAGAAUUUCAUGGAUCUUAAGCCACCGGAGUUUGAUGCUACACCAUCUUUUGUUGAGCCUUAAAAGUUUUUAGAUUGCUGUGAGAGGAUACUGACUACUUUGGGACUAAAGGAGACUCAUGGUGUAGAAUUUACCACUUUUUUAUUCUCAGGGUCUCCCGAGGCAUGGUGGACUUUCGUUUUGAGGGGCAGACAAGCAGGGCUACCACAGAUCACUUGGUCAGAGUUUUCAGCUAUGCUCUUGGACAAAUUUAUUCCCUUGAGGAAAUAAGUUGACAUGAGAUGCCAGUUUAAUGAGUUACGAUAGGGAUCCAUGAUAGUCACUGAGUACGAAGCUAAGUUUAUUGAGUUGUCCAGGUAUGUUCCAUCUUUAGUUGCAGAUCAGAGGGAGAAAGUAAAUGAUUUGUAGAUGGACUUGAGGCUCAUUAUCAUGGUCCAGUGAUACACGAUGUGCGUAAUGGGUCCUAUUCUGAGGUGUUUGACACUACUCUUCAUUCUGAGUCCUAUUAUGAGAUGGAAAAAAUUAAUCGAGAAAAUAAGAAGGCAUGUAACUCAGGUGGGUUUAGUGCUGCUCAGUAUGAGAGCAAGAAUGGGUUUGAUUGUGGAUAGUCUAGGCCUACGUAGUCAGAGUUAAUGGGCCAAUCUUCGAGGAAUAGUUAUCCAGCCAGACAAGGUCAGCAGCAGCAGACACAGAUGAAGGGUAAUGAUUUUUUUUUAGUCUGAGCAGCAUUUGAAAUGUUCUAAUUAUGACAGGAAUCAUACUGUACAUUGUUUUGGAGUUGGUGUUCCUUGUUAUACUUGUGGUGAGAGAGGGCACAUUGCUAAGUUUUAUCCUAAGGAAGAUUCUGGGUCUAGUCAAGCAACUUCUCAGGUGCAAAGAGAUGCUACAGGUACUUAUGCUUACACUCAGUCAUCUAGGAUCACUCCAUUGGGUACUCGUGGACAGGGCCAACAGGGUGCUCAAGGUUCUCAGAUAACAGGUGGACCACCAAGAUUCUUUGCUAUGGCUAGAUAGGACACAGAGGCAUCUAAUACAGUAGUCAAAGAUACGGUUGCAGAGAGAGAGACUUGUGGUUGACGGUCAUUACAUGUGGAUUCUAUUGCUAAGGUGAGCCUUCACAUUGUUCGUGGAGGUUUUCAUCCAGCUUUAGUUAUUUUUAGCUUAUAUUUCUUUUUGUUGGGCUUGCAUGCCCGAAAGCUGAACUCAUGCAACUUUGUUUAGAUGCUCCAUGGUCUAGUGUGGGGUUUGGGUUAUAGAUUUGUUACCUAAACUGCUGUUGUUUCCGUAAAUCGUUAUGCGAUAUCUUGUUGGACAAUUACUUUACGUUUAAUGAUUAUUUCGUGCAUUGA